CAGACCAUCGAGACUUUUCGGUAGAAUGAAGAUCCAACGGUCAGCAAUUAGUAACCGUUAUAUUCAAAACGAGACGAGCACAUGCCCUUCUCUCCCAAUUUGAAUCUGAUUAAUAAAUAAAAACCCCUUUUAAAGAACGCAACAAGAAACACAGACGCACAGAGUAGAGAGAGAGAGACAGAGAGAGAGAGAGAGAGAGAGAGAGAGAGGGAGAGCGGCUUCCUUUGCCAUUCAUUUCUCUCUUGGGAUUUUGAAGAUUCAAAGCUUUGAUAUUUGCCUUACUUUGAUCAAGUCCCUUGAUUUCUCUUCAAGGUGACCGAAGUGGGAUCAAAGGAGAACAACCCAGCUCUCGUUAGGCCUUCAAAUUUCCAGGGUCCGAGAAUUUGUUUGGGGGCAGCGCCUGAGGGAUGUCCAUAACAUCACCAGAAAAGAAUUUCCUAAGAAAAAUGCUACGGAAUGUAAGAAAAAUGUGCCAGAUCUGCCACAUAGGCCAGUGAGAGGGUUUGAAUUUACUCUUAUCCAAAGAAUUUGAUUCUUAUAUUUUGAUGUUUGUAUAUGAGGUUUGCGCAAUUGCUUCAGCAGCAGCCAAAGGAAACCAAGGAAGUGUCUGUGAGUUCAUUCGCUGGAAAUCCGAAGGCUGUGCAGGAGGUUGAUCAGGAAGCUAAGAAACCGAAGUAGGAUGGAAGAGGAUGAAAAUGUGGAGGAUGAGGACCCCAUUAUGCUCGCUACGGGAAAACUGAGCAAAAAUGUAAAGCUGAUGAAACUUUGGACUGACUGGACUAGCAGCAUAGUGGACAUUUCUGCAUUUGGACCCCCGAUCUGUAGGAAAGUGUAUCUAGGAAUUUCAAAGUGAUGUAUAAUUUAUGGGGUGGGAGUGAGUUGAGUGGAGUGAGUGUGGGUCCAAAUGCAGAAACUUCAUCAGAAUUGCCCUGGUAUGCUUUCUAAAAACCCCCCUCAAUGACAAUUUGUUUGCUUUUUGA